UCCUACGGGAGGCAGCAGUGGGGAAUUUUCCGCAAUGGGCGAAAGCCUGACGGAGCAAUACCGCGUGAGGGAAGACUGCCUAUGGGUUGUAAACCUCUUUUUUCAGGGAGGAAUCAAUGACGUGUACCUGAAGAAUAAGCAUCGGCUAACUCCGUGCCAGCAGCCGCGGUAAGACGGAGGAUGCAAGUGUUAUCCGGAAUCACUGGGCGUAAAGCGUCUGUAGGUGGCUUAAUAAGUCAACUGUUAAAUCUUGAGGCUCAACUUCAAAAUCGCAGUCGAAACUAUUAGACUAGAGUAUAGUAGAGGUAAAGGGAAUUUCCAGUGGAGCGGUGAAAUGCGUAGAUAUUGGAAAGAACACCGAUGGCGAAAGCACUUUACUGGGCUAUUACUAACACUCAGAGACGAAAGCUAGGGUAGCAAAUGGGAUUAGAUACCCCAGUAGUCCUAGCCGUAAACAAUGGAUACUAGAUGUUGAACAGAUCGACCUGUGCAGUAUCAAAGCUAACGCGUUAAGUAUCCCGCCUGGGAAGUAUGCUCGCAAGAGUGAAACUCAAAGGAAUUGACGGA
rnacentral:rRNA from 1 species